rnacentral:sRNA from 2 species
UUUCAGGAAAGCUAGGGUUCCGGUUUCAUUUGUAAUUUUCAUUACAUGAAACGUCUGGUCCGAGAGCGUUCCGGCCGCCAUCCAUUUGGCAGCUCCACGGCGGGACAAAAGCCCGGGAGGU